GACGAACGCUGGCGGCGUGCCUAAUACAUGCAAGUCGAGCGAAGUUUUUCUGGUGCUUGCCCUAGAAAAACUUAGCGGCGAACGGGUGAGUAACGCGUAAAGAACCUGCCUCAUAGACUGGGACAACUAUUGGAAACGAUAGCUAAUACCGGAUAACAGUAUUUCUCGCAUGAGAGAUAUUUAAAAGUUGGUUAUGCUAACACUAUGAGAUGGCUUUGCGGUGCAUUAGCUAGUUGGUGGGGUAAAGGCCCACCAAGGCGACGAUGCAUAGCCGACCUGAGAGGGUGAUCGGCCACACUGGGACUGAGACACGGCCCAGACUCCUACGGGAGGCAGCAGUAGGGAAUCUUCCGCAAUGGGCGAAAGCCUGACGGAGCAACGCCGCGUGAGUGAAGAAGGAUUUCGGUUCGUAAAGCUCUGUUGUUAGGGAAGAGUGGAUAUGUAGUAACUAUACAUGUAAGAGACGGUACCUAACCAGAAAGCCACGGCUAACUACGUG
rnacentral:rRNA from 1 species